rnacentral:rRNA from 1 species
UACGGGGGGGGCAAGCGUUGUUCGGAAUUACUGGGCGUAAAGGGCUCGUAGGCGGCCAACUAAGUCGGAUGUGAAAUCCCCAGGCUUAACCUGGGAAUUGCAUCCGAUACUGGAUGGCUUGAAUCCGGGAGAGGGAUGCGGAAUUCCAGGUGUAGCGGUGAAAUGCGUAGAUAUCUGGAGGAACACCGGUGGCGAAGGCGGCAUCCUGGACCGGCAUUGACGCUGAGGAGCGGAAGCCAGGGGAGCAAACGGG